GAUGAAGAACGUAGCGAAAUGCGAUAAGUAAUGUGAAUUGCAGAAUUCAGUGAAUCAUCGAAUCUUUGAACGCACCUUGCACCCUUUGGCUAUUCCGAAGGGUAUGCCUGUUUGAGUAUCAUGAACACCUCAACUCUCAUGGUUUGCCAUGAUGAGCUUGGACUUUGGGGGUCUUGCUGGCCUGUGGUCAGCUCCUCUCAAAUGGAUUAGCUUGCCAGUGUUUGGUGGCAUCACAGGUGUGAUAACUAUCUACGCUUGUGGUUUUCCACCAGGUAACCUUCAGCAAUGGGGGUUCGCUGGGGCUCAUAAAUGUCUCUCCUCAGUGAGGACAGCUCUUUGAACGUUUGAUCUCAAAUCAGGUAGGACUACCCGCUGAACUUAAGCAUAUCAAUAGCGGAGGA
rnacentral:misc_RNA from 1 species